rnacentral:lncRNA from 1 species
UUUUUUUUUUUUUCUGAGGGGGAAAAGGUGUAACUUCAUUAAGAAAUGUCAUUAGUUACAAUAUUGCAACUACUAAAUGCACCUUUAAGCUGCUUAAUUAUUUAUAAGGUGGCAUGUAUUAGCAAAUUUAUCCCAUUAAUAAUUCAGAUGAUGAUUAUUCACAGGCAUUAAGGGAAAAUUAGUUUAGAAUUAAAAAGACUUCACUCCAUCUUUGGGCCUAUUGUAUUCCUAAAUAUUUAAAUCAGCAUGUGUCAAUAACUAGUCAAAUGAAACAUGUGAAUAAUAUAUAGGCAUCGGUGAAAAUGCGAAAAAGCCAAAAAUACAUAAUUUAUCACUGACAUCACUGGAAAAGAUUGACGACCCAUAAAUUUCAAGGAUUAAAUAUUAUAUAUUUAUUAGGAAAAUGUGAAACUUUUUGUGCGUAGCAAAUAAUCAAGCGGGCUUCAAUAAUUCUUAUUUUUAUUUUUUUUGAGGGAAGGCUUCAAUAAUUCACUUUUUUUAGCGAAAUUCAAUAAUUCUUGAUUGUACAAUAUGACUUUUUUUUGUGCAUCAAAACUCAAGUAAAAAAAAAGAAUAUAUAGUUUUCAACUAAGAGAAAAAAAACAAAAAAAAAACAUGUAAAUUGCUGCAACAAUUAUUCAACUAUUCAACGAAAGAGUAGGAAAAUGUGAAGUUUUUUGUGUAUAGCAAAUAAUCAAGCGGGCUUCAAUAAUUCUUGAUUGUACAAUGUGACUAUUAUAUACACAUUUUUUUUUAUUUGCAUCAAAAUUCAAGUAAAACAAGAAAAGAAUAUAGUUUCACUUUUCAACUAAGAGAAAAAUAAAACAUGUAAAUUAAUUGCUGCAACAAUUAUUCAACAAAGAGUAGUACUCAGAAACUGAAAUAUUACAAUUCAAACUCAUAAAAGAAGUAGACAAACAAAAAAAAGAUAAUCCCUAACACAACAUAGGAAAAUCAUUCUACUCUUUUUUUUUUCUUUUUUUUCUUGUCAUGAGUAAAAGUAGCAUAGAAGUUCAAGUCAGAGCAUUGGAAGUCAGAAGGUGGGGUUUUUCCACAAUCGAUGAGGAGUUGAAGAGCAAUGGGAAUGAUGAUGUUGAUGUUGAGAAGCUUAGCUUUAAUGGUGGUGCAAAGGCAGAGUGCUGCAUCUAAGUCUAGCAGCCCACUAAGAACUGGGCAGCAUGCAUCUUUGGCGCUGCUGCCGAUGCCUAUGUGGAUUAGCCCACCCAAUACAUCCACACAUGCAUCUAGUUUUAGUGUGGGGCACGUGCCUUGCCCUUCCGGUGGCGGCGGUAGCGGUGGCGGCGGCGGGCAUGGGGUUCCGGGUGGUGGGGUGAUGGGAGUGAUCGGUGGGGGCGGGUUCGGGGUGACAACGGGUGGUUCGGGCUCGUGGGGUGGCGGUUUGGGGAUGAUCGGGGGGUAGACGACCGGUGGUUCGGGCUCGUGGGGAGGCGGUUUGGGGAUGACCGGGGGUUGGAUGACCGGUGGUUUCGGGCCGUGGGGUGGUGGUUUGGGGAUGAUCGGUGGGUGGACGACGGGCGGUUCGGGCUCGUGG